rnacentral:rRNA from 1 species
GACGAACGCUGGCGGCGUGCUUAACACAUGCAAGUCGAACGGAAAGGCCCUGCUUUUGUGGGGUGCUCGAGUGGCGAACGGGUGAGUAACACGUGAGUAACCUGCCCUUGACUUUGGGAUAACUUCAGGAAACUGGGGCUAAUACCGGAUAGGAGCUCCUGCUGCAUGGUGGGGGUUGGAAAGUUUCGGCGGUUGGGGAUGGACUCGCGGCUUAUCAGCUUGUUGGUGGGGUAGUGGCUUACCAAGGCUUUGACGGGUAGCCGGCCUGAGAGGGUGACCGGCCACAUUGGGACUGAGAUACGGCCCAGACUCCUACGGGAGGCAGCAGUGGGGAAUAUUGCACAAUGGGCGGAAGCCUGAUGCAGCAACGCCGCGUGCGGGAUGACGGCCUUCGGGUUGUAAACCGCUUUCGCCUGUGACGAAGCGUGAGUGACGGUAAUGGGUAAAGAAGCACCGGCUAACUACGUGCCAGCAGCCGCGGUGAUACGUAGGGUGCGAGCGUUGUCCGGAUUUAUUGGGCGUAAAGGGCUCGUAGGUGGUUGAUCGCGUCGGAAGUGUAAUCUUGGGGCUUAACCCUGAGCGUGCUUUCGAUACGGGUUGACUUGAGGAAGGUAGGGGAGAAUGGAAUUCCUGGUGGAGCGGUGGAAUGCGCAGAUAUCAGGAGGAACACCAGUGGCGAAGGCGGUUCUCUGGGCCUUUCCUGACGCUGAGGAGCGAAAGCGUGGGGAGCGAACAGGCUUAGAUACCCUGGUAGUCCACGCUGUAAACGGUGGGUACUAGGUGUGGGGUCCAUUCCACGGGUUCCGUGCCGUAGCUAACGCUUUAAGUACCCCGCCUGGGGAGUACGGCCGCAAGGCUAAAACUCAAAGGAAUUGACGGGGCCCCGCACAAGCGGCGGAGCAUGCGGAUUAAUUCGAUGCAACGCGUAGAACCUUACCUGGGUUUGACAUGGAUCGGGAGUGCCCAGAGAUGGGUGUGCCUCUUUUGGGGUCGGUUCACAGGUGGUGCAUGCCUGUCGUCAGCUCGUGUCGUGAGAUGUUGGGUUAAGUCCCGCAACGAGCGCAACCCUUGUUCACUGUUGCCAGCACGUUAUGGUGGGGACUCAGUGGAGACCGCCGGGGUCAACUCGGAGGAAGGUGGGGAUGACGUCAAGUCAUCAUGCCCCUUAUGUCCAGGGCUUCACGCAUGCUACAAUGGCUGGUACAGAGAGUGGCGAGCCUGUGAGGGUGAGCGAAUCUCGGAAAGCCGGUCUCAGUUCGGAUUGGGGUCUGCAACUCGACCUCAUGAAGUCGGAGUCGCUAGUAAUCGCAGAUCAGCAACGCUGCGGUGAAUACGUUCCCGGGGCU